AACUCCCACACCUUCAUCCCUAUCGGCAGGAAGCCAGGAACCUGGCCGCCCAUCCCCAACUCCCGCCGAACCUUCUUCCCCUGCGGCCGCGCCGAAUCCCCGCCCGACCUUCUUCCCGGCGGCGGCGCCGAAUCCCGCCUGACCUUCUUCCCGGCGGCAGGCUGCACGGCCCCAAUCCACCGCCGGAGCGCGAUUGACUUCAGCGCACGGGAGCAGAGCCAGCCACGCCGCCGCACGACUGCAGCUACCGAACAUGGCGAGGGCUCCGCCGCUGCUCCGGCGGCUCCUCCUGGCCGAUCCUGCUACUACUUCCUCCUCGUCCUCCAGGCGCAGGACUCCGUGCCGCCGCGCAACGACCUCCCCUCCAAUGUACCCGGACCGGCUGCUCCUUCUCCGUCUCCUCUUCCUCUCGGUUACAAGACAACGUCAAGUCGGACACAUCGCAGCUGCCGCAGUUCAGAUAUGAUGUUGGACCAGUUCAGAAGGUGUAGCAGACUGGAAGACAACCGCUGCUGUUUAACUUGUGUAUUUCAGGCUGUGCAAUUGUGUCUUUCGGAGAGUUCUUAAAUGUUGAUUUCGGGGAAGUUCUAUUUGUACAUAUCUGCAGUCCAUUUUUUUUGGCACAAAAUAGUUUCGCCACUUUAUUUUUGUAUGUACAUGUUUAUCUUUCUUUUACAGCAUCAAGCGGUUCAACUAUUAACUUUGAGAAGUUUAUUUGAGAUGCAGGUUUGCGCCGCCAUUGACUUCCAGGAGCGCCGUCAUGGACUCUCAGUGCCGGGCAGUUCACGUGCGUUGGCCUGCUAGUUUUUGUCCAUGGUGUCAAUGGUGGUGGGAGUUUGUGGUGCCAGCCGGGACUGCUCGGAACUGAACUACCCAACCAUCUGAGUAUUGUUAGUGCAUAUUCAUUUGACGGGAUUCAAAGCAGUACAGCCACUGGGUGCUCUUGCUGAAAUGUUGUUAAUCUGAACUGGUAAGCAAUACAACCGUCGGGUGCUCAUGGACCUAUUGGCUUGAAUAUUGGUUUGCCUGCCCUUUUUUGCAUGUCGAUAUGGAUGUACUAGUAAGGAAAAAUGCAUCUGUAUGGAUGAUGCAUACAUGGCUAGCUCUAGUAGUUCACUCUUAAA